CUGCCGUGGCAGCGGAGCGGUGGCCGUCGCCCCCUGCCGCCCGGGGCCCUCGCGCCUUGACCUCACUGGACACCUGUUGUUUGAGACCUUCCUGUGGCGGCACAGAAGUUUUAAGCUUGCCGCGACGGUUUCUGGGGCUAGGAUUUCAGUGCGCUGUACCUGCUAAGAGGGCUGAAAAGGCUUCGGUGCUUCUAGUCGGGAGGGGUCGCCUUACCUACCUCAGAGCCGGUCACGGUUUUGUCCUCGUUUCCUUCCAAAAAUUCUCUCUCUUCCAUAAAUGUUACGGUUUUCUUCCAAAACGCUCAGCUGCCUCGGAGGCCUUGCGUUUGCUUGGUGUACCUUGCGUAGCAAAUGGCCGGGAGCCCAUGUGCUGCGGAUUAAGGGAUUCUUAACGUUUCUUAGCUAGCCGAUGGUAAAAUAAGCACUCCUAGAAGCAAUGAAGCAAGCACGUCUCGGUUCCUUUUGAUUUUAUAUCGUCUUUUGGUUUGAUCUGUCAUGCAAGAUGCAGUGGAAGCUUUUCUCCUGGUUACGUGACUAACCUGGCAUCUACUGAGAAGCGGACUGAUGCUGUAGCCGUCUUUCUCCCUGGAGACGUGAAUAGCUACUUCUCUCGUCUGUUUUUACAAAACUGUGAAAAAGUAACAACUCUGAGGAGACCUCUGUUAAGCUAAGGAAAAGGUGUAAAUGUUGUUGGGGGACAUAGAAACGUAUACAAAUGAUUUCACAAGCCCCGUUUCCUUAGCCAAAGAGGCUAAACUAUAUCUGCGUGCGUGUGUUUUCCCCCUAACCUACCCUCCACCCCAUCUCUGUCUCCUCCCUUUUGGUGAUAAUUCUGAGGUGGGAGGCCACAAGACCGGAUUAAGGACUGGCUGACAGAUGAGGAGAGAGCAGUGCGUAUUGGCUACUUUGGCUACCUUUAGAAAGGCUUUUGACACAGCGUCCCAGUGUCUUCCACUGUCUCUCCAUCAGAAAGUACUAUUUUUGUGGCUGUAUUUUAAUUUUUAUAAAUAUGUACAACAUUUAGAAAUCCUGCAGUACUCCUGAUCGUAAUAACUUCUUAUGAAGGGUUAUUUUUAACAUUUUGUCAAUGCUAAGUGCAGGCUACAGGGCCUUUCCCAUUAGGUAUUACCAGGUAUCUUUUGGAGAAGCCCUGCUUAAAGUGACUUUUUUUCAGUGUUUCAGGAAAGGUUUAAGGCAUCUUUUCUGUUAUUUGCGGGAUAUUGUAUGUCCUUCUAAUAACCUCUAAUUACAAGGGCUAUUCUAAACGUUUUAGAUGACUGCUACUAAGUUUCUGAUUUUUACUACUGUGUUCUCUCCUACAGGAGGCAUAACAAUUUUGUGGGUAGGGAUUCACAGCGAUUAUUUUUCAUCUAAAUGUAUAUUCUAUAGCUUUUAGUACAGAAUAAUUUGUGUCAUGAUUCUUGAUUUAAAAAAAAAAAACUCACCCCAGUUGUACAUAAAUUGAAAUUGUUUUCUUUAAAUGUUUAAUGGGUAUAAUGGUCCAGCUGAGAGAUCAUAGGUGUUUGCCUGUAGCUAUUAAGCACUUAACACUGAUAUGGCUUACGUUCAGGAGGACCAUUUGGCACAGUAUCACUUAUGGGAAUGUAUGUUGAGGAGAUGUGUUUUAUUUAGGGAACUGUACAGUGGACAGUGAACAUCUGUUUAUGAAGCCAAUUGCAAUUCUGAAAAAGGACAGUAGAAAAUAUUUGGGUUCCAGAGUCUUCUUUAUCCCUGGCACAUUUAGUGUCCAUAGCGUCACAUAAACUAACGUGCUUUUUCCUCCUAGCAUUUUAGCUAUAUUUAGAGCCACUGAUAGGGUUCAAAUACUAUAUGGAAAUCUUUAAGGAGACCCCUUUGUCAUGUAUUAGAAAGGACAGAGUUUGUGUUCUGGAGUAACGUAAAAGAAAGAUAGCGAGCUAUGUUUUCCUAAUGAUUACUGUUUAUACAUUGGUUUUCUCUUCAGUUUUGUAUUGGUUCUUGCCUGAACUUGCAGACUUAUGACAGACCAAAGUUGUGCAUUGGCCCAGGUAAGAAUGGAAAAAAGACCAAGAAAUGAGGCGGCAGCAGGAGUAGCAAAUUAGAGAAUCUGUGGAAGGAGAAAGGAUUCAGAGAUGUCAGCUAAUCGGUCAGAGAGCUCUGAUCUGCUGCAGAAUCACAUUGGAGAAUGCGAUUAUUAAACUAUAAACAUGAUAAACAGAGAUGGACAAGAGCAGAAGCUAUAGAUUAUGGUAGGCUUAUUUACCUUUUUAAUCUAGCUGUUUUAAAGAGUAUUCUAGCUGCUAAUACUAAACAACUGUGAUAGGGGAAACUAUAAUUGUUGUCUUUGAACUGCUCAUCACAUCUCUCAAAGACCUCAGUGCACGAAUAGGCUUUCUGAACUAGUCAUAGUUGCUGUGAAGAGUGUUUUAGGGCUGGUUACAGCAUAACAAGCGAUGUGCUGCAGAAUUCCACUUCUUAAGAUUCGGAAGUCUAAGAUAUGACAUCUGUGAAGGUGAAACAUGACCAGGGACCAUAGAACAGGUGUCUCAGCAUCUCUGACAGCUAUCCAAAUAAGGUUGAGGUGCAUGACGUCUUCCAGGUCCAUAGUAGUGUUGUCAGUGCCAUGAUGGUCUUGGGACAUAAGAAAACAGGAUGUUUAGGUAGAGAUCUUUUAUUAGAUCUGUUGAUUUAGUAGGAGAAAGUAGGCAAGCUUUUGGACACGCAGCCCCUCUUUACUCUGAAAGUAAAACCAGGGACUCAAUAGCAUUAUUGAUUUUAUGGCACAGUAUAAUAUUCCUGCUCGUUAGUCUCUCUGUGCUCCAUAGGCAACAAACUGCCUAUUUCUCUUCCCUAACGUUAUCUCCUCUUAUCCCCUUACUAACUUCUCUUUUACUUCAAAGCUCUCAGCUACCUUGUCUGUCAAAGACAGUCUAACUGCUGUGCACCUAAACACUGAGCAAUUGUUCUCUAGUUGUAUUUAGCUCUGCUAAUUGUAUUUAGGUCUUCUGCUUCUAUUACAGACCUGAUGAAGGCUGCUGAGCGAUCAAAAGCUUUUUCCAGCUUUUUCCAGCUGUAGCAGUUGGUUUAAUAACAGCACAGUACCUCUAUCUGCAAGUCUAGUUCUUAGUUGUUGUCCUCCCUCUAGGAGGGAGGACAAAAUGGCUGAAGAAAAACUUGAAUGCAUACAGGAUCUGGUAUGCUCUUAACAUUCUCCUAUAGAGUAAAAGAGACGUUUUUAUUUCUGUUCUAAACCACUGAUUGAAAUGAGUGGGUCUGUUUUAUUUUCAGUAUUAUGGAACUUAGGUUUGGACUCAGUUGGCCAGUUUUCUAAAAUUAACAUCAAAACAUUAUGAUGAUAAGUUUUUCUGUUCUGGAGUUAUGUUCCGAUAUGCAUUAUUUAUAAAUACAUUUUCAUUCUCUCCUCUGCAAAAUAUAGUUAAGGUUAAACUUGGCAGUCUUUACCUGAAAAAGUACUACCAGACUGAAAACAGCAGUGAUGAGAAUUUUAGUCAUUUAAGAACUACUACAUUGUGCUGACUACCAUAUAAGGAAGCCAUCCAGAAACACUGAUCUUCACAAUCCCUAAUAUAGGAAUGUCUUAGUCUGGACGUUUUGAAGGCAAAACUUUUUUCAGGGUCAUGUAACAUUUGUGACAGAUCUUGAUAUCAGUUUCUGGAUUAACUGCAUUUCUCACCCUUUUCUUCUCUCCUUAGGCAUAUUUUUUGAUACUGAGACCUUUGGCUGAUCUCUGGCGAGCUUUGUGAGUCAGAAACUCAUAUGUGCCACCUGUACGGUUUCCUGAAAUGUCCUGGGAUACAGCAGGAGUGAUUAAGUGCAACCACUACAGUUUUGCUUUCUCCUAUGCAACACAGGGUUAUUGACCAUCCCAGCUUUUCUAAAGCUAAGUACUGUUUAUUCAGAGUCACACCAUUUAUAGGAGUAAGCCUCCUGUAAAAUGAACUGCCUCUUAUCCCAUCCAACCAGGAGGACUCUCAGCCUGCAGAUGGUCAGUAUAGAUCAUCUAGCAUGACAGAAAAAUCCCCAGUUCAGUUCUUGAAUAGACUAAGAAUGACCCUGGGCAAGCAAACAUGCCUGCUCACGUGGAAACCAUCAUUUAGGUUGUUCUCAGCCCUUUUUUUCUCGCCAGACCUUCAGUAUCAGAUCAAACUAGUAAAGUGAUAUUCCCUCUGCCUCUGCUACCCUUUGCGGUGAACCUUUAAAGGCUGGAUAGCUGCAUAAAUCAUACAUUUUUCAAUUACUGUUUUUCCUCUACCUGCUUUUCCCAACUUUCUGUACACUUCUCUGCAGGACUUCUGGUUCUUAGAACAUAUCAUUCACAUGGUUGAGUUAGCUGUGAAUACAUUCAGUGACAAACCCAUAAUGAUACAUGUGAUCUUUAGAACAUCAAAACAGAAGUGUUUAAAUAUGUUGUGCCUCCUCAACAUCUGUUACAUCGCUAUUUUGCAGUCCUUGAAUGACCCAGGGUUUUAGGGGGGUCCCUAAAAUCCCCUACCUGUAAUUAUAACAAGUGACAUAAAUCUCCACCUUUUGCCCUAACAGUGCCAGCUGAACCUGGCUGUCUAUUUGGAUUUGUCAGUGGUCCUUUUCAGCAAAGACAGUUAAUUGGGACUGUCUGCAGCUAACAGUUUCUGCAGGCUGUGGCCUAGCUCCUUGACUUAUUUUAUUGUGGUGUUGAAGAGCGUGUCCAGGCCAAACAAUGACGGAGCUUAGCUGAACUAAAUGGAGCCGAGAUUCAUUUGGUUGCUAGGCUUGCAGGGGACUAAAAACCAAUUUCUCUGCAUCUAAACAGUGAAUGGGAACGCAAGGACAACUGUAAAGGAGUUUUCGGAUUUGGAAAAGGGAAAAGAUCCGUUAGAAGAUCACUGGGAAAGAGCUUUGGCCUGACAAGGAGGAACCUGCUGCUUCUGAUUGUGUAUGUAUUAACUUUGUGUUUGCUUGUGCUGAGUCAUGGGAACUUCCUGUCCUUAUAUUCACCUCUUGCCAUCACUGUCAUAUUCAGUCUCAUCUUUUUGAAAAGUAUUCUUGUUGAUUAAUCCCCAUAUUAUGUUAGAGAAGGGAGUUGUAGCCGAAGGGCACUGUUGUUU